CCUACGGGAGGCAGCAGUGGGGAAUCUUGCGCAAUGGGCGAAAGCCUGACGCAGCAACGCCGCGUGCGGGAAGAAGGCUUUCGGGCUGUAAACCGCUUUCAGCAGGAACGAAAAUGACGGUACCUGCAGAAGAAGGAGCGGCCAACUAUGUGCCAGCAGCCGCGGUGAUACAUAGGCUUCAAGCGUUGUCCGGAUUUAUUGGGCGUAAAGAGUUCGUAGGCGGUCGAGUAAGUCGGGUGUGAAAAUUCUGGGCUCAACCCCAGAGACGCCACCCGAUACUGCUUGACUUGAGUUCGAUAGGGGGGUGGGGAAUUCCUAGUGUAGCGGUGAAAUGCGCAGAUAUUAGGAGGAACACCGGUGGCGAGGGCGCCACUCUGGAUCGAUACUGACGCUGAGGAACGAAAGCAUGGGUAGCAAACAGGAUUAGAUACCCUGGUAGUCCAUGCCGUAAACGGUGGGCACUAGGUGUGGGUUUCUAUUAACGAAAUCCGCGCCGUCGCUAACGCAUUAAGUGCCCCGCCUGGGGGAGGUACGGUCGCGAACGAACUAAACUAACAAACGGAAAGUUAGACGGCGUGAGACGUGCCGAACGGACGACCGACCGACGGGAGGUAGG
rnacentral:rRNA from 1 species